CUCUAAGAUGCUGACCUUGCCAUCUUAGAGAGUGAUUUAAUGGAGGAGGUAGAUAUCCACCCAUAUUUAUUUAUGCAGAUAGACAUCACUGCACAAAUAAGAGUAAAGUUAUAGCUGUAGUAUAUUCUGAAAGUGGAAGUGUGUGGUGCCAUAAAAUCUAUAGCUGUGAGUUGAAUUAUGACUCCCAAAUAAAGACACAUUGAAGUCUUAACCCCCAAUAUCUCAGAAUGUGAUCUUAUUUAGAGAUAGCCUCUUUGGAGAGGUAAUCUCUCCAAAAUUAACAGAAUUAAGUUAACAUAAGAUUAUUAGGCUGGGCCCUAAUCUGGAAUGCAUGAUAUCCUUAUAAAAAGGGGGACAUUUGGACACAAACACAGACAAGCAGAGGGAAGAUAAGUGAAGAAACACAGGGAGAAGAAGUCCAUCUACAAGCUAAGGAGAGAGGCCUGGAGCAGAUCCUCCUGUCUUGGUCCUCAGAAGGAAUCAAUUCUGCAGACAUCUUGAUCUCAGACUUCCAGACUUCAGGAAUUACUCAAGGGAUCUCAGUUUCACAACUUCAAAAA
rnacentral:lncRNA from 1 species